rnacentral:rRNA from 1 species
AGCCGCCUACGGGAGGCAGCAGUGAGGAAUAUUGGUCAAUGGUCGGGAGACUGAACCAGCCAAGCCGCGUGAGGGAGGAAGGUACAGAGUAUCGUAAACCUCUUUUGUCAGGGAACAAAGGCGGGGACGUGUCCCCGGAUGAGUGUACCUGAAGAAAAAGCAUCGGCUAACUCCGUGCCAGCAGCCGCGGUAAUAAGGAGGAUGCGAGCGUUAUCCGGAUUUAUUGGGUUUAAAGGGUGCGCAGGCGGGCUGUUAAGUCAGCGGUGAAAGCCCGGGGCUCAACCCCGGCCCGCCGUUGAAAAUGG